GAGCUACGUGAUAGAAUGAACGUGAGAACGUGCACCAGAUGUUUCCAGAUUAUUAUUGUUCUUCCACUGUGUAUUCCCACCGCUUCUCACCGUGAACACUUGGACAGGACAAGGCGGCGGUGUACAUUUCCUUAUCCAAAUACGGCUGCAGCACAUUUAGACUGCUAUUCUUAUCCCAGUAGACCCGCCUCGCUCAAAGAUCCCAUGGUCCACAUUUAUAAGAGCCCUGGAUCCUGGACACUGGUUUGGCACAAGACUUCAAGAGCAGGACUUUUAAGCUACUAAAUGUAAUCAGUAUCCAGGCUGUUCACUUCACAUCUUUUGAGAUUAAAAGAAGAAAAGAUGAUGGUCUUAAAAUGGUUUUACUUCAACAAGAAACCACACGAUGGAAUAUACACUUUGUCUUCCCUUGGGCCACUAUCUGAGGAUAUAAGGUAGAUCCAGAUGGUUUACUGCAGAGCAUGGGAAAACAAUGCAGAUGCCACCGUAGUGGGUUGCUCACCUGAUAAAAGGUCGGGAGAUGGCUAUGACAGUCCUGAUAAACCACGUUGGGUGAACGAUGACAAGACACUUCAGAUUCUUCCUCAACCUUACAGUGUAAAAUAAGGCACUACCCUCACCUCCGUGGGUGACCACUCUCAGGUACGGCCGUAUGACCUGCAUGUCAAUCCUCUGCUCCUGGUCACCUAUCAGCACCG